ensembl:lncRNA
UUUCUGUUUUCAGAAUGUAAAAAAAUGUAUUUUACUCCAGAGAAAAAAAAGGGUUUUUGUAUCACCUACACUUGUAGCCUGUACACAGACCAAUGUAUGUUAAAUGGUUUAUUUUAUAGUGGCUUUCCUUUAAUAUCUUAUUCAUUCAUUCUUUAGGCGUAUCUACCGUUUGACCAAAGCUGUGCUGGAAAUGCUGAAGUAUCUGCAGUACGGGAAGCUGUAUUUCCAGUGGAAGUCAUGGUACAAGAAUGUGGACAGUAAUAAUAAGUACUGUGUGAAGGGGAAUGUUUUAAACAUGGUUCAGGACAUUAGUGACAGCCUGAUGUGGGUGAGAGAGAAUGGGCAUUCCUUCAAUCUGAAUAAAGACAACAUUGUGUUGGUGGGCCAUUCAGCAGGUGCUCAUCUGUGUGCUCUGACUGCACUGUUUCUGGUAGAAGGUGCGGACGAGUUGAGCAUUGAGCAAUUUCAACAAUGGGAAAUUGCAAACUCUAUUAAAGGCAUCAUAGGUCUGAGUGGCGUUUACAAUGUAAUGGACCAUUAUCAGCAUGAGAAAAUGCGGGGUAUUGAAUAUGUCUCUCCUAUGCACAAAGCCAUGGACGGCAAGGAGAAGUUUGAUUAUUAUUCACCCACAGUUCUCAUCAAGAAACUCAACAAGAAGCAGUUGAAAAGAGUUCCUCCAGUCGGUUUAGUUCACGGUACCCAAGACAUCAUCGUCCCAGUGGAGUCAUCAAUGAAGUUCUCCAAUAUCCUCACUUCACUCUCUCUCCCUGUAUCCCUGUACCUCCUGCCCAAAAUGGAUCACACCAAAAUAGUUACGGAUCUCAUGGCACCACAGAGGCACUUUUAUCACAAAGUAUUUGAUUGUAUCAAACAAGAGUACAGUAAAUUUAUUGGGCCUUGCUGAUUUUUUUUAAUACAGCAUGCUGUAUCUGCUAACUGCUUUUAACAUUGAAUUAAUGUUUAAGUUUCAUAUUACAAGCCAAGCAUUUUAACCAGAGCCAAUUGCUAUGAUGAUUACUGUUAUAGGUAAUGAAAUCUAACGAGACUUGGAUUUUAUAUGACUUUAAAGAUUUUCUGAUUUAUGGUCUGAAUUAUUUCUGAAAAGUAAUAAUUUACCAAGCCCAAAAUUUAUAUUUGCACUAUUACUGAGAAAUGGUUUUCAUGUGCACUAGGAAUACGUUAAAAAUAAUUAAUUAUCACAAAUUAAAAAAAAAAGGUAUAAACAAAAAACUUUAUUUGUUUCCAGUGUAUGACUUCUGUGCUGUAAUAUCCUCAUUAUCCUUCCAAGAUAUAGUUUUUUUAUCUUUAAAGAUUUUUAGAUAGUGCAUCAGUUAGUCCUAAACUUAUGCUACUUGCAAAAAAAGUAUAAAAAAUAACCCAUAAUUAUAACACUUUUCAGUGUAAAUGUUGGAAUUUUGCUUGUAUAUUCUGUAUAAUCACACAAGAUCAUAGUAGUGGCUAACACUUGUUACCAUGAUCCAGUGUUAAUCCAUGUUUGUUCAUUUGUAAGGACACAAAUGGUUUUGAAUAUGUUUACAUUUUUAAAUAGGGUAAAAUAGGGACCAGUAUCAUAAAACAAUGGGUUGAAAUAUUGGCCAAAGAUAAGCAUUAUCACCAAUAUAUCCAUUAUGUACAGUGGUAUAAAAAGUGUGGGCACCCCUGAUAAUUUGCAUGGUUUUCCUUUAUACACCAUUGGUUGUUUGGAUCAGCAAUUUCAGUUAAAUAUAUCAUAUAGCAGAUGACCACAGUGAUAUUUGAGAAGUGAAGUGAAGUUUAUAGGACUUAAAGAAAGUGUGCAAUAAUUCUUUAAAAACAGUUAGGCAAGUGCUUAAAUUUGGGCACCCCAACAGAAAAAGUACAUUAAUAUUUAGUAGAUCCUCCUUUUGUAGAAAUAACAGCCUCUA